GGUGAAUUGGGUACCUCAUCACUACUUUGAAGCAUUUCUUUGUACUCCUUCACAAAACCAUUAUAAAUGGCUUUCCUUCGAUCUACCUUGGCAACCUCAAUGGUUCUUUUAGCAAUGCUAUCCAUUGCCUCCGCAACUGACUAUUAUGGAUAUGGUCCAACACCAAAGCUUGAGAACCCCAAACCCAAAACAGAUCACAAAUUUGACGACAAACCACACCCUACAGAACCAGAUUAUUAUGCAGUGCCCAAAUCAAAAGGAAACGAUGAACUACAUCUGCUUCCCACAAUCAUUGGUGUCCAAGGAGUUGUUUUAUGUAAAUCAGGCUCCAAUUAUUCCCCAAUUCAAGGAGCCGUGGCACGAGUUACAUGUGGAUGUGAGGAUGAGCAGGGGUACGAGACAGGUCCUACAUCAGUGUUGAGUCAUGUGACAGAUAGUAAAGGUUAUUUCUUGGCCACAUUGUCAUUUGGAUCUAAAUUGAAGAUCACUGAGUGCAAGGCAUACUUGGAGACUUCUCCAUUGGAAACAUGUAAAGUUCCCACCGAUGUCAACUACGGGAUCAGUGGUGCUCGCCUCUCUUCUUAUCGCCUCCUUCAAAAUAACAUCAAAUUGUACUCUGUGGGGCCUUUCUUCUGCACCUCCCAACCACUCCCUAACGGUUAUUAAUGAAGAGCACCUUCUCUAUGGCGUUCGUUGAAAUGGCUGCAAAGUGAAAAUGAUGAUUUUAUUCUAUUUCUAUUUGUUGUGUUUUUUUUUUCUUCUGAUAUUGUUUUGUCAAGUGUUGAUUUCAUAUGUAAUUCAUUGGCACGAAGAAUUGAUUAAGCCUCCUUGCCCUUUAAGAGAUUUAAGUUUUAAUAUGUUGUUAUGAUAUUGGUACCUAAACCAAAAUAAGGUUCUCUGUCUUGUUUA